rnacentral:rRNA from 1 species
GUAGGUGGCAAGCGUUGUCCGGAAUUAUUGGGCGUAAAGCGCGCGCAGGCGGUCCUUUAAGUCUGAUGUGAAAGCCCACGGCUCAACCGUGGAGGGUCAUUGGAAACUGGGGGACUUGAGUACAGAAGAGGAAAGUGGAAUUCCACGUGUAGCGGUGAAAUGCGUAGAGAUGUGGAGGAACACCAGUGGCGAAGGCGACUUUCUGGUCUGUAACUGACGCUGAGGCGCGAAAGCGUGGGGAGCAAACAGGGAUUAGAUACCCUGGUAGUCCACGCCGUAAACGAUGAGUGCUAAGUGUUAGAGGGUUUCCGCCCCUUUAGUGCUGCAGCUAACGCAUUAAGCACUCCGCCUGGGAGUACGGCCGCAAGGCUG